UGGGGAAUAUUGCACAAUGGGCGCAAGCCUGAUGCAGCCAUGCCGCGUGUAUGAAGAAGGCCUUCGGGUUGUAAAGUACUUUCAGCGGGGAGGAAGGGAGUAAAGUUAAUACCUUUGCUCAUUGACGUUACCCGCAGAAGAAGCACCGGCUAACUCCGUGCCAGCAGCCGCGGUAAUACGGAGGGUGCAAGCGUUAAUCGGAAUUACUGGGCGUAAAGCGCACGCAGGCGGUUUGUUAAGUCAGAUGUGAAAUCCCCGGGCUCAACCUGGGAACUGCAUCUGAUACUGGCAAGCUUGAGUCUCGUAGAGGGGGGUAGAAUUCCAGGUGUAGCGGUGAAAUGCGUAGGGAUCUGGAGGAAUACCGGUGGCGAAGGCGGCCCCCUGGACGAAGACUGACGCUCGGGUGCGAAAGCGUGGGGAGCAAAUAGG
rnacentral:rRNA from 1 species